GAUGAACGCUGGCGGCGUGCUUAACACAUGCAAGUCGAACGAAGCACUUUAUUUGAUUUCCUUCGGGACUGAUUAUUUUGUGACUGAGUGGCGGACGGGUGAGUAACGCGUGGGUAACCUGCCUUGUACAGGGGGAUAACAGUUGGAAACGGCUGCUAAUACCGCAUAAGCGCACAGCAUCGCAUGAUGCAGUGUGAAAAACUCCGGUGGUAUAAGAUGGACCCGCGUUGGAUUAGCUAGUUGGUGAGGUAACGGCCCACCAAGGCGACGAUCCAUAGCCGACCUGAGAGGGUGACCGAACACAUUGGGACUGAGACACGGCCCAAACUCCUACGGGAGGCAGCAGUGGGGAAUAUUGCACAAUGGGCGAAAGCCUGAUGCAGCGACGCCGCGUGAGCGAAGAAGUAUUUCGGUAUGUAAAGCUCUAUCAGCAGGGAAGAUAAUGACGGUACCUGACUAAGAAGCACCGGCUAAAUACGUG
rnacentral:rRNA from 1 species